GGUCUGCCAGACUAGCGCCUGGUGGUGUUGGUUCCGUCUUUCUUCUCGCUUUUCUGUAUUUGGCUUGCCUAAGGGGACGCAAAACCCUAGUCCUCCUAGUGUCCCCAUCUCCGUCGCAUCCCCCAGUACCAGGAAAAUCAAGCGGCUCAGAAAAGUCCCAAAUGUCUGCUGUAGCUCCUCCGACCCGUGGAAACUAACGGUUAUGCAUGGAGUCGUAGGAAGGCAUGGACAACUGCAAAACAGCUGAAGGACAAUUGCAAGGUCAGGCAUCUGAACCUAUUGAUUUACCUGUGGCGAGAAUUUAGAAGAAAGUAGGUUGCUCCUGACCUAAAGAGCC